rnacentral:rRNA from 1 species
AUGGAAAAAAUGAAGGACGCGUCGGUACCAAAAGGUGAAGAGCCAAAGUCUGCUGUUGAAAUUGUUGAAGAAGUGCUCAAGACCGAAGUCAAGCAAAGCACAUUCCUCGGGAAUGUUGGGCUCCAGUCAUCUAGGAACAACUCUGGCAAAGCAACUGCUGAAGUGGCUGCUCAUGUUCGUGAUCUUCAGCAGUAG